CAUUAUAUUUGUUUGUGUCAAUUUGUAAUUUUUGGUUCAUUCUGAACAUUAAAUAUAUUACUACCAACAAACUUUGGCUCACAGAAGUAAGAAAUUAAAACUUGUUUACGUUUUUAUUGGCUUUUUAUCACGUAUGCGUGACUGGACAGUUGCUGUGGUGCACUUACAGUAAAUUUGCUUGAUAAAGUACAGUAUAUUUGAAGAUAUGGCUGUAUAACAAUCUCAAUCCAUAUUUAAAGGCACAGUUCAGCCUUUUGAAUGAUGGCUUUUAAGGCGCAUUUCAGCCCUUUUAAUUGAAAAAACUAAC
rnacentral:lncRNA from 1 species